rnacentral:rRNA from 1 species
CCUACGGGUGGCAGCAGUGAGGAAUAUUGGUCAAUGGACGAGAGUCUGAACCAGCCAAGUAGCGUGAAGGAUGACUGCCCUAUGGGUUGUAAACUUCUUUUAUAUGGGAAUAAAAUGUUCCACGUGUGGGAUUUUGUAUGUACCAUAUGAAUAAGGAUCGGCUAACUCCGUGCCAGCAGCCGCGGUAAUACGGAGGAUCCGAGCGUUAUCCGGAUUUAUUGGGUUUAAAGGGAGCGUAGGUGGAUUGUUAAGUCAGUUGUGAAAGUUUGCGGCUCAACCAUAAAAUUGCAGUUGAAACUGGCAGUCUUGAGUACAGUAGAGGUGGGCGGAAUUCGUGGUGUAGCGGUGAAAUGCUUAGAGAUCACGAAGAACUCCGAUUGCGAAGGCAGUUCACUGGACUGCAACUGACACUGAGGCUCGAAAGUGUGGGUAUCAAACAGGAUUAGAUACCCCUGUAGUC